AUUGAACGCUGGCGGCACGCUUUACACAUGCAAGUCGAACGGUAACAGGGUGCUUGCACCGCUGACGAGUGGCGAACGGGUGAGUAAUGCGUCGGAACGCACCGAGUAAUGGGGGAUAACGCAGCGAAAGCUGUGCUAAUACCGCAUACGCUCUGAGGAGGAAAGCGGGGGACCUUCGGGCCUCGCGUUAUUCGAGCGGCCGACGUCUGAUUAGCUAGUAGGUGAGGUAAGAGCUCACCUAGGCGACGAUCAGUAGCGGGUCUGAGUGGAUGAUGCGCCGGCCUGGGACUUGGACGCGGCCCGGAAUCCUACGGGAGGGAGCAGUGGGGAAUUUUAGACAAUGGGCGCAAGCCUGAUCCAGCCAUGCCGCGUGUCUGAAGAAGGCCUUCGGGUUGUAAAGGACUUUUGUCAGGGAGGAAAUCCCUAGCGCUAAUACCGUUGAGGGAUGACAGUACCUGAAGAAUAAGCACCGGCUAACUACGUGCCAGCCGCCGCGGUAA
rnacentral:rRNA from 1 species